CCUACGGUGUGCAGCAGUGGGGAAUAUUGGACAAUGGGCGAAAGCCUGAUCCAGCCAUGCCGCGUGUGUGAAGAAGGCCUUCGGGUUGUAAAGCACUUUCAGUGGGGAAGAAAGCCUUGGGGCUAAUACCCUCGAGGAAGGACAUCACCCACAGAAGAAGCACCGGCUAACUCCGUGCCAGCAGCCGCGGUAAUACGGAGGGUGCGAGCGUUAAUCGGAAUUACUGGGCGUAAAGCGCGCGUAGGCGGUCUGAUAAGCCGGUUGUGAAAGCCCCGGGCUCAACCUGGGAACGGCAUCCGGAACUGUCAGGCUAGAGUGCAGGAGAGGAAGGUAGAAUUCCCGGUGUAGCGGUGAAAUGCGUAGAGAUCGGGAGGAAUACCAGUGGCGAAGGCGGCCUUCUGGACUGACACUGACGCUGAGGUGCGAAAGCGUGGGUAGCAAACAGGAUUAGAUACCCUUGUAGUC
rnacentral:rRNA from 1 species